UCGGUGAAAUAUUUCGAUGGUAUAAUGGACACCAAUUGCCGAUAUUUUUUCUAAUUCUUUUCAGGGAUGGUGGCACAUUUUUCAAAAGCAAUUGAACCCAUGUUUAUUAGGCUUACUAAUGAAGUCACUUCAUUACGUCAUGAAAUAAAUGUCCUGCGUAAUGAAGUUAAGGAAUUGAAGAAGGAGAAAUCGCUUGUUGAGUUGUUGAUGCCUGAAAGCCCUUUUAAAAAUAUAGACGAGUUUAUGGAUUUCGAAAAAAAAUUGCAGGAAGACAAAAAGUUUUUGAAUAUGUUUGGAAAGGAGCUGUUAACGGUUGCCAAAACUCCAAAUUUUACAAAAAACUGUUGGCGAAAGCUACUAGUAGACGAACUGGCGCAAAAGAUGUGUUGGAAGGGGACAGAGGAGAAAAAAAGUGUACGCAGCCUCAGUUCAGCAAAAGCAAUAAGAAAUGCAGCAAUUUCUAUUGGAUUGAGCGAGGAUGAAUAUAUAAAAAGCACAAAAUCUUUUUUCCAGUUCGCGAAAAAUAGGCAAGAAUCAAAACAAAAAUAUACUCCAAAGACAAAAAACAAAAAUUAAUUUUUUUCUUAUGUUAGUAAUAUACCUUAUAUUAAUAAUACACCUGAUAAAAAUGUACAAAAUAAAAAUUAAACUAUAAAAAAUAAUAAAAUUAAAAGGUUUAUAAAACUAUUACG